AUGCGGAGGAAAAGAAACUAACAAGGGUUCCCCUAGUAACGGCGAGUGAAGAGGGAAAAGCCCAAAUUUGUAAUCUGGCUCUUUUAUAAGGGUCCGAGUUGUAAUUUUGAGAACUGUUUUCCGUGCUGGACCAUGUACAAGUCUGUUGGAAAACAGCAUCAUUGAGGGUGAUAAUCCCGUACAUGAUAUGGACUACCAGUGCAAUAUGAUACAGUCUCUAAGAGUCGAGUUGUUUGGGAAUGCAGCUCAAAGUGGGUGGUAAAUUCCAUCUAAGGCUAAAUAUAGGUGAGAGACCGAUAGCAAACAAGUACCGUGAGGGAAAGAUGAAAAGAACUUUGGAAAGAGAGUUAACAGUACGUGAAAUUGUUAAAAGGGAAACAUUUGAAGUUAGACUUGUUAUUGUUGGCUCAGCUUCUUUUUUAAUUAGGAGUCUAUUCCAAUGGUUAACAGACCAGCAUCAAUUUUUGAGUGUUAGAUAAGGGUCUUGAGAAUGUGGCAACUUUGGUUGUGUUAUAGCUCUUGGCUUGAUAUAAUGCUUAGGAUUGAGGAACGCAGUGAGCUUUUUAUUAAGUGGAUUCAAAUUUUGGAUCUUCAUCACUACGGAGUGGUUAGCUUU
rnacentral:rRNA from 1 species